rnacentral:lncRNA from 1 species
GGAAUAUGUUAGUUAAUUCUAAAUGCUGUGAAAUUAGCAGAAUUUGGGUUUUCGUGGUUCUUCAUGAAUCCGGCUAGUUUGCUUGUGUUAGUCCCAAGGUAAUUACUUAUAAUUUAUAUCAUAAUUACAUGUAUGAUGGAUUUUCGUGGAUAUUUGGAGUCUAGGCUUAAGCAUUCUUGAGCUUACUUGGGUAGUAGAUAUCCACAUAAUUCCCAGUCAGCAUUUCUAACUCUUUUUAAAUUUUUUUGCAUUUUCUAGCCUAUUUUUCAAAAUCUAGCUCUGUUGAAUUAUCAUUAAGGAUGUUUAAAUUUAUCGUUUCGGCUUAUAUACAUGGUCAAAUGAUGCUUCUUUAUACAACUAAUACUGGAUCUUAUUGGUAAGUUGAUGGCUUGGCGUUGGAACUGGAUUUCAAAUGUCAGAAAAAUAGGACGCAAGCUGAAAAUUUAGAGGCACUGAUAUGCUUCCAUUUUUCCAUAUUAUUCAAGUCGUGUCUAAGAUAAAACUCAUAGUAUAAAGGAGUAGUUUUGAUGCUGCAUCUCUAAAAGUGGGACAUGAUUCCCUUCCAGUUCUGCCUUAAGCAAUACAUACAGAAUAAGUCGCAUGCUUCAUGUAUUGCAACCACAAUUCAAAUAAAAAUGUCAUGAAAAUCAAAUUAAAGUGCCUGAAUGCUUUUGGCUUAUUGCUGGCUUUGUAUUGACUACCUCAGGGAUUAAUUAUGCAUGCCAUAGCCGUCAGCACCUGUAGGAAAGCCAUACAAGAAUCAUCAAAUAAGGUCAUGUUUACUUGUCUGUUUGUAUGUAAAAUUUGUUGUAUAAAAUAUCUGUGCAUAUUGACGGUUAAUCUGGCAUCAAAACAUAUGCCCCAUGUCAUGCAGCAUUCAAUAUACUAAAAUGCGAAUCUAACUUAGUGGAGGAAUGCCUUGUCUCGGUGUGUGGAAGCGAUGGUGGAACUUGGAAUAGACAUAUACCAUACCUCAUGCAUUGACAUUCUCAACUUGGGAUCGCAGUCGAGACAUUGCUCUGCCAGACGAACCAUCCAAAACAACUG